rnacentral:rRNA from 1 species
AUGCUCGAUCGGACGAAGCCCUCUCUCGCCAUGAGAGACCCGAAGCUCAAGACAGCAAGAGCCCACAAGCCGCGCCACUGCCACCUCCUCGACAGGCUCAGGAAGCGCCACUUCUACAGGUGGCGGUGGCUCCUCUGGCUGGCCGUCUCCGCCUACCUCCUCCUCCCGGCGCUGCCCCCCUCCCUCCGCGGCCCCGGCUCCGAGCCCCUCCCCGGCGUCCGGAUCUACGCCUACGACCUCCCGCCGCGCUUCAACCGGGGCUGGGCGGCCGCCGACGCGCGGUGCGCGCGCCACCUCUUCGCCGCCGAGGUGGCCGUGCACGAGGCGCUGCUGCUGCGGCAGCGGCGCGCGGGCCUGCGCCCCGAGGAGGCCGACCUCUUCCUCGUGCCCGUCUACGUCUGCUGCAACUUCUCCACGCCCACGGGGCUCCCGUCGCUGGCGCACGCGCGCGGGCUGCUGGCCGACGCCGUCGGCCUCGUCCGCGCCCAGAUGCCCUUCUGGAACCGCUCCGCCGGGGCCGACCACGUCUUCGUCGCGGCGCACGACUUCGGCGCCUGCUUCCACCCCAUGGAGGAUGUGGCAAUGGCGGCCGGUAUCCCGGAGUUCUUGAAGAGGUCGAUCCUGCUGCAGACAUUUGGCGUGCAGGGCCGGCACCCAUGCCAGGACGUGGAGCAUGUGGUGCUCCCGCCGUACGUGCCGCCUGAGGUGGCUCCUCGGGAGCUGCCGGAACCGGAGAAGGCGCGUCGCGACAUCUUUGCCUUCUUCCGGGGCAAGAUGGAGGUCCAUCCCAAGAACAUCAGUGGCCACUUCUACAGCAGGAAGGUGAGGACUGAACUACUGCGGCUGUAUGGCCGCAACGGCAAGUUCCAUCUGAAGCGGAAACGGUACGACGGCUACCGGGCGGAGAUGGCGCGCUCCAUGUUCUGCCUCUGCCCGCUGGGGUGGGCGCCAUGGAGCCCUCGCCUCGUGGAGUCGGUCCUCCUGGGCUGCAUCCCCGUCAUCAUCGCCGACAACAUACGCCUGCCGUUCCCCGGCGUCCUCCGGUGGCCGGACAUCUCGCUGCAGGUGGCGGAGAGGGACGUGGCCGGCCUCGAGGCGGUGCUUGACCACGUCGCGGCGACCAACCUGACGACGAUACAGAGGAACUUGUGGGACCCCGUGAAGCGGAAGGCGCUGGUUUUUAACCGCCCGAUGGAGGAGGGAGACGCCACCUGGCAGGUGCUCAAGGAGCUUGAGGCGAAGCUGGAGCCGUUGCGACGGCAGGGGCGGAGGAGGAUCCAUAUCUAG